UUAGUAGUAUAAUUUGAUUAAGUGCAUUUUAAUUCCAUUUUUAUUCUUUUUUUAUUUUGUAAUUUAAUUUUCAUUUUAUUUUUUAUUAUAAUAAUUGGAUUAAUUGCAUUAUAAUUUGAUUUUAAUCUUCUUUAUUGCUUGCAAUAUUAACUCCCUUUAAUCUAACUAUUAACUCUUUAAUUCUUUUUGUUCCAAUUCUUAUUCAUCUUGUGUGAUUGAUUGAUU
rnacentral:lncRNA from 1 species